GCAGGACCAGGGGUCUCACCCGUUGUUUUUCCCCCAAGCCAGGAUUUGUCAAUCCCAAACUUUGUCUGGAUGGAGCUGGAGGAGGCUGCAAGGAAAAGGAAGAUGGCAUAAGAGACUGAGGCAGGCACUGAGCUUCAGAUGGAGACCAGGGAGAACAAAUCCCUGUGGUAUUCACAUUUCUUUGAAUAGAGACAUAAUUCUUUCUCACAGGAUUUUUCCUGGGAAGCUGUGGAAAGGCUGAGAAAGCUCAGAGAGGAAGAAAACAAUUCUUAUCUCACUUGUUGCUCCUGUUGUUUGGCACAUGUGGAAUGUGUUAUGGAGAUUGUUUACCAAGAGUGAUUUGUUAAUUGGACACUGGUGAUGGUUGUUUGGACUGAUUGACCAAUUAGGUCAAAGCUGGGUCGUGACUGUCUGUAAAGGGUCAGAGGUUUUUCUUUAGUAUGUAAUUUAGUAUAGAUUUAGUAUAGCAAUAGUCUAAUGUAGUAUAAUAUAGUAUAGAAUAAAGCAUCUGUUCAGCGUUUGAAAUCAUGGAGUCAGAGCACAUCAUUCCUUGGAUGGGUGAGACAAAGUAGAAAUUUAACAGGAUAGAAAUACAUUUUUGGAUUUAGGUGAAAUGUGCUGUUCUGAGCCUGUAACUUGUUUAUCUGUGCUUAAGACUCCCUGUUCUCGCAAGAGAGAAAAAAAAAACCCAAAAAAUCUUGUGCUCGCAGAAUGGCCUUGACCAAGAGAAGGAAUUCAAACUCCUGAGAUAAGCAGAGGUGUCUUUGUCGGGGGCAAAGGCUGAGGAUGACCAGAGAGCUCUCUGCGCAAAGCGCAAGGACUGAUAAAAACUAAUUGCAACUUGCAAUGUGAAAUCAGUAAAAUGAAUAUGAAUGAGACUAUAUGCAUGUGUAUAAGCAAGGGGGAAUUCUCAGGGAUGCGCAUGUCCUUUAGGGAGAACAGCGAUUUUCACAUGCACCUAGCACUGUAAUAAACAUACUGGCUUAAUGACUUUCUACAAA